GACGAACCGUGCGAAUGUUGUUCGGAAUCACCGGGCUUAAAGGGAGCGUAGGCGGGCUAUCAAGUCUGGGGUGAAAUGCCGCGGCUCAACCGUGGAACUGCCUUAGAUACUGACGGCCUCGAGGGAGAUAGGGGCAUGCGGAACUGUAGGUGGAGCGGUGAAAUGCGUUGAUAUCUACAGGAACUCCGGUGGCGAAAGCGGCGUGCUGGAUCUCUUCUGACGCUGAGGCUCGAAAGCUAGGGGAGCAAACGGG
rnacentral:rRNA from 1 species